rnacentral:rRNA from 1 species
CCUACGGGUGGCAGCAGUGAGGAAUAUUGGUCAAUGGGCGAGAGCCUGAACCAGCCAAGUCGCGUGAGGGAGUACUGCCCUAUGGGUUGUAAACCUCUUUUGUCGGGGAGCAAAAGCCGGACGUGUCCGGCUGUGAGAGUACCCGCAGAAAAAGCAUCGGCUAACUCCGUGCCAGCAGCCGCGGUAAUACGGAGGAUGCGAGCGUUAUCCGGAUUUAUUGGGUUUAAAGGGAGCGUAGACGGGAAGGCAAGCCAGAAGUGAAAGGGCAGGGCUCAACCCUGUACAUGCUUUUGGAACUGUGGUGCUAGAGUGCAGGAGAGGUAAGUGGAAUUCCUAGUGUAGCGGUGAAAUGCGUAGAUAUUAGGAGGAACACCAGUGGCGAAGGCGGCUUACUGGACUGUAACUGACGUUGAGGCUCGAAAGCGUGGGGAGCAAACAGGAUUAGAUACCCUUGUAGUC